UUCCGGUUGAUCCUGGCGGAGGUUACUGCUAUCGAGGUUCGACUAAGUCAUGCGAGUCGAAUGUAGCAAUACAUGGCGUACUGCUUAGUAACACGUGGACAACCUACCCUCCGGACGGGGAUAAACCCGGGAAACUGGGUAUAAUACCCGAUAGAUCUCGACUGCUGGAAUGCAUCGAGAUCGAAAGCUCCGGCGCCAGAGGAUGGGUCUGCGGCCUAUCAGGUAGUAGUGGGUGUAGCGUACCUACUAGCCUACGACGGGUACGGGUUGUGAGAGCAAGAGCCCGGAGAUGGAUUCUGAGACACGAAUCAGGCCCUACGGGGUGCAGCAGGCGCGAAAACUUUACAAUGCCGGCAACGGCGAUAAGGGGACCUCGAGUGCCAGGUUACAAAUCUGGCUGUCGUGAUGCCUAAAAAGCAUUGCAUAGCAAGGGCCGGGCAAGACCGGUGCCAGCCGCCGCGGUAACACCGGCGGCUCGAGUGGUAACCGUUAUUAUUGGGUCUAAAGGGUCUGUAGCCGGCCGGAUAAGUCUCUUGGGAAAUCCAGCAGCUCAACUGUUGGGCUUUCAGGAGAUACUGUCUGGGUCGAGGCCGGGAGAGGUGAGAGGUACUUCAGGGGUAGGGGUGAAAUCUUGUAAUCC
rnacentral:rRNA from 1 species